rnacentral:lncRNA from 1 species
CAGUUACUUCACACAACCAAAAUUUAUUUAAAGAAGUCACUGAUCUUGCUGUGUUUCAGGUUGCUUUGAAGGAGCUUGACGGCUCGAGCCUCAGAGUCUAAUAAGCUUUGCAUAGUUUUGUCGUCGUCGUCGUGGGCGCCGAGGAAACUGCAAAUGAUAUCCAAAGCAUCAAGAAUUUCACGCUAACUUACUUGCCUUUCUUGCGUUUCGUUGCUUUCCUCACUCUCGUCGUCACUCUCAUAUUCUUUGCGCACACUUUCAAUAAUAGCGUCGUCGUUAAACUCUCUAUGCAUGAUCAGUCGGCGUUAACAGCAUAUGGUAUCGCUGCAUCGACACUGCACAGCGCAUCCAAUGCAUUCAACUCUAUGGAUGUUCGUCAGGGAUGCCAGAUUUCUUCGUUGCUGCAAGAAUUUCAUUCUUGAGGGCUUUCAUUAUUGAGGGGUUCAACUUUAGAGCCGGAAAGUCGAAAAAUGAGGCCACAUUUUCGUCACACCAAAAUGGACAUCUCUUGAGGGGCAUCAUUGCUUAUGCUGUGCACAUGAUCAGCCUUUUCUAAAGAAAAUAAUCAAAUGAUGGUUGCAAAUAUAAUUCUAAACUGACGCUAAAGCAACAUCCUUCCUUUGUGUGACAUUUGAACUGAAAUCAGACAGCGGUUCAGCUGAAAACUUGUGUACAUCUGCCACUGUUGUUUAUGUGAAAAUCAGGUUGUGCUUUCCAGUAGUUUUGUUUUGUGCAUACAUAUGCACAGAUGUUUAUUAAAUCUUCUGUAAAAUGAACAUCUUAUAUCAUGCAACA